AAACUAACAAGGAUUCCCCUAGUAACGGCGAGUGAAGAGGGAAGAGCCCAAGAUUGAAAGCUGGCGUCUUCGGCGUCCGCAUUGUAAUCUCAAGAAGUGUUUUCCGCUUCGGACCAAGCCUAAGUCCCUUGGAAAAGGGCAUCAUAGAGGGUGAUAAUCCCGUACAUGGCUUGGAGCGCCCGAAGCUUUGUGAUACGCUUUCUAAGAGUCGAGUUGUUUGGGAAUGCAGCUCAAAAUGGGUGGUAAAUGCCAUCUAAGGCUAAAUAUUGGGGAGAGACCGAUAGCGAACAAGUACAGUGAUGGAAAGAUGAAAAGAACUUUGAAAAGAGAGUUAAACAGUACGUGAAAUUGCCAAAAGGGAAGGGUAGGAGGUCAGAGAUGCGGCCUGGGAUUCAGCCUUGCUUUUGCUUGGUGUUUUUCCCAGAUUGCAGGCCAACGUCGGUUUUGGGCACUGGAGAAGGGUAGGAGGAACGUGGCACCUCUCGGGGUGUGUUAUAGCCUCCUACUGGAUACAGCGACCGAGACCGAGGACAGCAGCGUACUCGCAAGAGCGGGCCUUCGGGCACCUUUACGCUUAGGGCGUUGGCAUAAUGGCCCUCUACCAC
rnacentral:rRNA from 2 species